GUGGAUAUAGCUCAGUGGUAGAGCACGCACUUAACAGAUACGAGGUCCAGGGUUCAAUCCCCAGUACCUUCA
rnacentral:tRNA from 1 species